rnacentral:rRNA from 1 species
CGACUGCUAAUACCGCAUACGAUCUAAUCUCGGCAUCGAGGAUAGAUGAAAGGUGGCCUCUACAUGUAAGCUAUCACUGAAGGAGGGGAUUGCGUCUGAUUAGCUAGUUGGAGGGGUAACGGCCCACCAAGGCGAUGAUCAGUAGCCGGUCUGAGAGGAUGAACGGCCACAUUGGGACUGAGACACGGCCCAGACUCCUACGGGAGGCAGCAGUGGGGAAUCUUCCGCAAUGGACGAAAGUCUGACGGAGCAACGCCGCGUGAGUGAUGACGGCCUUCGGGUUGUAAAGCUCUGUUAAUCGGGACGAAAGGCCUUCUUGCGAAUAGUGAGAAGGAUUGAC